rnacentral:rRNA from 1 species
AUUGAACGCUGGCGGCAGGCCUAACACAUGCAAGUCGAGCGGAUUAAGGGAGCUUGCUCCUGGAUUCAGCGGCGGACGGGUGAGUAAUGCCUAGGAAUCUGCCUGGUAGUGGGGGAUAACGUCCGGAAACGGGCGCUAAUACCGCAUACGUCCUGAGGUAGAAAGUGGGGGAUCUUCGGACCUCACGCUAUCAGAUGAGCCUAGGUCGGAUUAGCUAGUUGGUGGGGUAAAGGCCUACCAAGGCGACGAUCCGUAACUGGUCUGAGAGGAUGAUCAGUCACACUGGAACUGAGACACGGUCCAGACUCCUACGGGAGGCAGCAGUGGGGAAUAUUGGACAAUGGGCGAAAGCCUGAUCCAGCCAUGCCGCGUGUGUGAAGAAGGUCUUCGGAUUGUAAAGCACUUUAAGUUGGGAGGAAGGGCAGUAAGUUAAUACCUUGCUGUUUUGACGUUACCAACAGAAUAAGCACCGGCUAACUUCGUG